rnacentral:tRNA from 1 species
UCUCGGAUAGUAUAGUGGUGAGUAUCCCCGCCUGUCACGCGGGAGACCGGGGUUCAAUUCCCCGUCCGAGAG